AAUCUUCAGUGGGACGUAUUCUGUAUGUGUAACUGAGCUCAGGAGGAUGCAAAAUCUCGAAAAAAACAUCUUCGAUGGUGUCUUUAAUCAGAGGAUCAUGAUGGUGCUCAUAAUUGCCUGUUAUCAUAACAAUUUAUAACCAAAGUCGACGAUCCUCUUCGUCACAGCUGCAAUCAUUUUGAGCUCACUGUGUACGACGACGGGGUACCGAGGCCAGCAAAAUUCGGACGUUUCGGUGGCGUCAAAUUUUCUUCAGCCAGUUCGGACAGAGCUUCAAGGUCGUGAUCCAACCCGGCGGGGCAAACUUGGUGUUCCAGCUCGAUAUUCACUGAACGCGAAACUAUUGCACCGUCACACCUACGAAAGACUCAGGGUGCGUAAAAUUUUUAAGUUUGAACGAAUUUUUAUUGAACACGUCGAUAAAACACCCAUUUCUCUCACAAUGGCGUUUUACAAAAUUGAUAAAUCGCUCGGUUAUCAAAAUUUUCCUCUCUUCGUUUUUUUCUAUCGGAGCUCACUCGCGAUCGAUAUUUUCAAAUUUUCAUAUAUAUCUCUAUUUACACGAAACGCUAUGAAUAACUCUGAAAACUUGUCAUCAACGUGUCGAAAGGUUUUCACCUUUUAUUUGUUAAAACCCACUUUCAGCGAUUUCCGAGAAAAAAAUGAAUAUUUAGCUGGUAGUACCGCUCGUGGGGAGGAGAAUUUGAUUUUUUUUCUUUCCUUUUUGGUUAUAUAGAUGUAUACAUAAUAAAAGGUAUUUCGAGAUCGUUGUUGAGGAAAAGGAAAAUUGCACGUGUCGACGUAGAAUAGCUCAGAAUCUCGAAAUUUAAUCGAA